rnacentral:rRNA from 1 species
UACGGGGGGGGCAAGCGUUGUUCGGAAUUACUGGGCGUAAAGGGCUCGUAGGCGGCCAACUAAGUCAGACGUGAAAUCCCUCGGCUUAACCGGGGAACUGCGUCUGAUACUGGAUGGCUUGAAUCCGGGAGAGGGAUGCGGAAUUCCAGGUGUAGCGGUGAAAUGCGUAGAGAUCCGGAAGAACACCGGUGGCGAAGGCGGCCUGCUGGGACGUGGCUGACGCUGAGGAGCGAAAGCAUGGGGAGCGAACAGG